rnacentral:rRNA from 1 species
UGCCAGCCGCCGCGGUAAUACGGAGGGGGCAAGCGUUAUUCGGAAUUAUUGGGCGUAAAGGGCGCGUAGGCGGCCUGGUAAGUCAGUGGUGAAAUCCCUCGGCCUAACCGAGGAACUGCCUCUGAAACUGCCAAGCUUGAGGCCGGGAGAGGGUAGUGGAAUUCCCAGUGUAGCGGUGAAAUGCGUAGAUAUUGGGAGGAACACCAGUGGCGAAGGCGACUACCUGGACCGGUUCUGACGCUGAGGCGCGAAAGCGUGGGGAGCAAACAGGAUUAGAUA